UGCAAGUCGCCGGCAUCGCGCAUGGCCGACUGCCGCAGACAGUCCGUUGUGCUCAAAUCGUGAAUUUAUUUUAACGCAAACUAAAACUGUUUUCUAGUCUAACCGCUAGACAAGUGCCUUAUUGUUAAUGGAUGUGCAAGUGUAUGCAUGGAUUAACUACACCGGACGACUGAACGCCGAUGAGAAAUAACUACGAGUGGAUUUCUUGUUGCAUCUUGCAUUUGUGUCCUUUUGGAAACGAUCGAACAAGUGAUAAAUAAAGUGCCCUUAUUUUAAUAAAAGUACAAAUCUCAAGUAUUGAGAAGCUAAAGCUAUUUUAUAAAUGUUUUACAAUUGGACCUCCUGCCGUCACAAUCACCACUGCCACGGAUUCUUCUAGAAGUGUUUCGCGUUCGUAUGAUGAUACAGAUAAAUAGGUAUUACAACGCGACGUGGAAUGCCACGGUCGGAUCGUGAGCUCCG